AUGAAAAUGCAAGUAAAAGGUUCAACACCUUACACAAUCUUACAAGUUCAACACCUUCCAAAUUUAAAAUCAAACAAAUUCAACACCAAGAUAAUUCAACACCUUACAAAACCUUACAAAUUCAACACCUUACAAAUUCAAAAUAUCAAUAAAAGUUCAAAACCUUACAACUUAGACCAUCAAACAAGUCAACAUAAAUUACAAAACAAGUCAGAAAAUAUUCAAUAA